rnacentral:rRNA from 1 species
GUAGNNGUACGAGCGCACCCCUAUCCUUAUUUGCCAGCGUGUAAUGGCGGGGACUAUAAGGAGACUGCCGGUCAUAAACCGGAGGAAGGCGGGGACGACGUCAAGUCAUCAUGGCCCUUAUGGGUAGGGCUACACACGUGCUACAAUGGGUGGUACAGAGGGUCGCCAAAGCGCGAGCUGGAGCCAAACCCUUAAAACCAUUCGUAGUCCGGAUUGGAGUCUGCAACUCGACUCCAUGAAGUCGGAAUCGCUAGUAAUCGCGAAUCAGAAUGUCGCGGUGAAUACGUUCUCGGGCCUUGUACACACCGCCCGUCACAUCAUGGAAGUGGGUUGCACCAGAAGUGGUUAGUCUAACCUUCGGGAAGACGAUCACCACGGUGUGAUUCAUGACUGGGAUGAAGUCGUAACAAGGUAGCCCUAGGGGAACCUGGGGCUGGAUCACCUCCUU